rnacentral:lncRNA from 1 species
GAGUGGAGAUUUGAGCGUGGAGGGAGGACGCGCUCCCCCAAGCUGUCCACACUCGCACUCCAGCUCCUUCCGAAGCAGUUUCUGGAGGGAGUACCUGCCCGGAGCGAGCGCCUGCUGAUUCCUCUAGCUCGAAGCCUCUCAGUCUCAGCUGCUCUUUCCUGCAAAGGGGACGGCGCUGACCAGGAUGUACAAAUGAGGAAGAUGACAAAUAUAAAGACAAGUGAACAGAUUGGAGGAGCUCCUCUGAACUCCAAGAUUCAGUGGCUUAUGCUAAGUGAGCAAAGGCCACCCCACCUGAGAAUCAUACAGACUCACUGUGCCUCAGUCAACAAUGGAAAACAGAGCCUCAGACAGAAAGACCAGACACUAUUUCCUGGAAGAAGGAGCAACUACAUCUUUGGAAGGAAAAGAGCCCACAAUACCUGGUGGGAGAUGGAACCUUACAGCGAAUAAAUGAGAAAUUGAGUUAUUGUGGAAAGUCCUGGACCUUACUCCUCACCCUUGCUGGAGCCGCACUAUGAGUCAUGAAGACAGGUCUCUACUGAGUAGGAGGAAGGAAGAGAUGCCUCUGGGGAGGGAGACCCUUUUGACUCUGUGUGCUUAGGUACAAAUCCUUUCUAUCUAUCUUCUUCACCUUGUAAAUAAAACCUGUUCUAUGCUUGAUGGAUUGUGAACU